UACCCUCGGCUGGGAAUUCUUCAAACUCAUCGUCCUCCUCUAAUAAUCCCAAAUCUACAGUCUGUUUCUUGUCAGACAUGUUAACUGCCUUUCCGUUGCGCGGGUCUAUCGUGAACAAAUGGACUUCCAGCGAGAGGGUUUCUGGGAUAGUGGAGGUUCAAGAGAAGUCUGCUUGCUCAUGGGCAGUGCUCUGCCAACAGAAUCCCACGUCACACGAUGCUCCUGAUUCUGCACGAAGCCAACCAGGUAGAAAAAUGGCAGAAAAAUGGCAGAAAAAAGACGGACAUCAGAGUAUUUUUCAGUACACCAAAACGCAAAGCAGAGCAGGCAAAAGAUGGCACACAGACAGCAGAGUUGGGGACAGAUAUGCAGGGACAGACUGGCAGAGACAGGGAGUCUCAGGUGGCUCUGCCCAGCGUUCCUCACUCUGUUGCACCCACCUCCCUCUCACCAUUGCCUCAGGCCCUGGCCUCUAAUGUACUCCUCUGGGACCCCAGCAGAGUCCAGAGGCCCAGAGACCAAAGAACCAGGCCUGCCUGCUGCUCCACUCUUCAUGCUCACUUGAAUUGAAUAUCUGAGAAAAACCUGUGGCCCUCUCUACCAUUCCCCCCACCCCACCCCCUUCUUUCCCUCUCCAUCUUCUUUGGUGACUGUGCUAUUUUUGGCUCUCCUCUGGACAUAUGUCAUUGAGGAGUGCGUGCAGUGGCUGGAUAAUUAAGGCUACCUCAAAGCGGGCAUAAAAAAUUGGGAGAUAUUUAUUAGGCAGUACAUUAGCUGCUUGUCGUGAGUGCGUGUCAGGCCUGUAAAACAAAGUUUGAUUGAGAAAGUCAGAAAAUGUGGUAGUGUAACUACUGUUGUUGCCGUUGGUACUCCAGCAGAGACGUGGAAAUCAUUC
rnacentral:lncRNA from 1 species